rnacentral:ncRNA from 2 species
CACCACCAGGAGUGGAGCCUGCGGCUUAAUUUGACUCAACACGGGAACACUUACCAGGUCCUAACUUAUUGAGAUGUUUGAUACCGACGGUUUGGGCAACGGUCGCUCGCGGCUCGCACUCGGCCGGCGGUGUAGUGUGACCUGAUAAUACGUCAACCCAUCGUGGUUGACUUCUGUUUAAUAGGACAAUUUGUGUUCUGCAAAAUGAGAUUGAGCGAUAACAGGUCCGUGAUGCCCUUAGAUGUCAGCUGCACGCGCGCUACAAUGUGCGCAGCAACGCGUAUCCUUGCCCGAAAGGGCCGGGAAAUCGCUUAAAUGCGCAUGCCGGGUAAAGGCACAUACUAGGGUCGAAAACCUUAUGUCGAAUUCGUCUUUG